GAGAGUGGUAUGAAGCAUUUGCUGCAGCUGAAUGAAGUUCUGUAAAGCUGGCACAGAUUACAGCAGCAUUGUUGAGCUGGCAUAAACAUACAGAGUACAGUGGACACUGACUGACGUUGGCAGGAAUCAGCUUUAGGGAAUCCUGCUUCAGCGCGACAUGUCUUGCUACUUCUCAUAGUUGACACCAUAGCAAUUCAAAGGAAUCAAAGAUGAGAAGCAUGAAAUGGAGAAAUAAGUAAACCUUAUUAUUUCCAUGAUUUGUCUGGGACCAGCUCAGCAUCACAGAACACAUGUGAGAAAAUUCAGGACUGAGAGUAUAUUGGGAUCACCAUACAAGUAGUAACCGAGGCAAAUGCUACAUGUUCCACUACAGUUAAUCGGGGAGUGAGGGAAACCCUGAUAAAUCCUAAGCAGCUGCAUACGACUGUUAUUACACAGGAGAAUUUGAACUCAUAACAUUUGGGAUAAAAUAAGUACUUAAAGCUGCUCACCAAUCAAGAAUGAAACAUUUCCGCUGUGCAAAGCUUGCCUUCACAAAGAAUAAAUCUGAGCAUCUGAACCCAGCUUCUGCCUUGUCAGCCACAUUUAUGAUGUGUUCAUAAUUAAAUGUCCACGAAGCUCACAGCAUGCUGACCACAGAGGGGCCAUAAGCAGUAAAGAUAAAUGAGAGAGAGAGAUGUAAUAUUGCUUCACUUGUGGGUUUAGUCUGAUGUUAAAGAUUGUCAGUGAUAAUUAUUAAUAUGUGACC